AACACUCCGGUGGUAUGAGAUGGACCCGCGUCUGAUUAGCUAGUUGGUGAGGUAACAGCCCACCAAGGCGACGAUCAGUAGCCGGCCUGAGAGGGUGAACGGCCACAUUGGGACUGAGACACGGCCCAAACUCCUACGGGAGGCAGCAGUGGGGAAUAUUGCACAAUGGGGGAAACCCUGAUGCAGCGACGCCGCGUGAGUGAUGAAGUAUUUCGGUAUGUAAAGCUCUAUCAGCAGGGAAGAUAAUGACGGUACCUGACUAAGAAGCACCGGCUAAAUACGUGCCAGCAGCCGCGGUAAUACGUAUGGUGCAAGCGUUAUCCGGAUUUACUGGGUGUAAAGGGUGCGUAGGUGGCAAGGCAAGUCUGAAGUGAAAAUCCGGGGCUCAACCCCGGAACUGCUUUGGAAACUGUUUAGCUGGAGUACAGGAGAGGUAAGUGGAAUU
rnacentral:rRNA from 1 species